AUAAUACUCCCUCCAUCCGGAAUUACUUGUCAUCAAAAUGGAUGUGUCUAGAACUAAAAUACAUCUAGAUACAUCCAUUUCAAUGACAAGUAUUUUCGGACGGAGGGAGUAGUAG
rfam:Triticum aestivum genome assembly, contig: Triticum_aestivum_CS42_TGACv1_scaffold_131228_2BL